AUUGAACGCUGGCGGCAGGCCUAACACAUGCAAGUCGAACGGUAACAGAAAGCAGCUUGCUGCUUUGCUGACGAGUGGCGGACGGGUGAGUAAUGUCUGGGAAACUGCCUGAUGGAGGGGGAUAACUACUGGAAACGGUAGCUAAUACCGCAUAACGUCGCAAGACCAAAGAGGGGGACCUUCGGGCCUCUUGCCAUCGGAUGUGCCCAGAUGGGAUUAGCUAGUAGGUGGGGUAACGGCUCACCUAGGCGACGAUCCCUAGCUGGUCUGAGAGGAUGACCAGCCACACUGGAACUGAGACACGGUCCAGACUCCUACGGGAGGCAGCAGUGGGGAAUAUUGCACAAUGGGCGCAAGCCUGAUGCAGCCAUGCCGCGUGUAUGAAGAAGGCCUUCGGGUUGUAAAGUACUUUCAGCGGGGAGGAAGGGAGUAAUGUUAAUACCUUUGCUCAUUGACGUUACCCGCAGAAGAAGCACCGGCUAACUCCGUG
rnacentral:rRNA from 1 species